AUAAUGUAGAAGACUUUAUUUAUGUUAAAAUGGAAAAGGACCAUAUUUUGGAAGAACUUGUGAUGUAUAAAAGAAAUGAUGCAAAGUUGUAUUAAAGUUGAAUGCUUCCGUUUUGUAUGAUGUUAAGUAGAUGCAAAGUUGUAUUAAAGUACGUGAUUUAAAUUUAAUCAAAUACUUGUAUGAUGUUAAGUAGAUUCUUUCACUAUUGGCU
rnacentral:lncRNA from 1 species